rnacentral:rRNA from 1 species
ACGGCUCAGUAACACGUGGCUAACCUACCCUCAGGACGAGGACAACCCCGGGAAACUGGGACUAAUACUCGAUAGGCGAGGAGGCCUGGAAUGGUUUCUCACCUAAAAGGCUUUGGAAACAUGCUUUCAAUGUCGCCUGAGGAUGGGGCCGCGACCGAUCAGGUUGUUGGUGAGGUAAUGGCUCACCAAGCCUAUAACCGGUACGGGCCGUGAGAGCGGUAGCCCGGAGAUGGGUACUGAGACAAGGACCCAGGCCCUACGGGGCGCAGCAGUCGCGAAAACUCCGCAAUGCACGAAAGUGUGACGGGGCUACCCCGAGUGCCUUCCGCUGAGGAAAGCUUUUCCCUGGUGUAACUAGCCGGGGGAAUAAGGAGAGGGCAAGACUGGUGUCAGCCGCCGCGGUAAUACCAGCUCUCCGAGUGGUAGGGAUGAUUAUUGGGCUUAAAGCGUCCGUAGCCGGCUUAGCAAGUUUCCUGUUAAACCCAGCGACUCAAUCGUUGGAUCGCGGGAAAUACUACUAGGCUAGGAGGCGGGAGAGGUCGACGGUACUUCUGGGGUAGGGGUGAAAUCCUAUAAUCCCGGGAGGACCACCAGUGGCGGAGGCUGUCGACUAGAACGCGCUCGACGGUGAGGGACGAAAGCUGGGGGAGCGAACCGGAUUAGAUACCCGGGUAGUCCCAGCCGUAAACGAUGCGGGCUAGGUGUUGGGAUGGCUACGUGCCAUUUCAGUGCCGCAGGGAAGCCAUUAAGCCCGCCGCCUGGGGAGUACGGCCGCAAGGCUGAAACUUAAAGGAAUUGGCGGGGGAG